AUUGAACGCUUGCGUCAGGCCUAACACAUGCAAGUCGAACGAGUGGCGGACGGGUGAGUAAUGUCUGGGAAACUGCCCGAUGGAGGGGGAUAACUUCUGGAAACGGUAGCUAAUACCGCAUACCAUCGGAUGUGCCCAGAUGGGAUUAGCUAGUAGGGGGGGAAACGGCUCACCUAGGCGACGAUCCCUAGCUGGUCUGAGAGGAUUACCAGCCACAAUGUGACUGAGACACGGUCCAGACUCCGACGGGAGGCAGCAGUGGGGAAUAUUGCACAAUGGGCGCAAGCCGGAUGCAGCCAUGCAGCGUGUAUGAAGAAGGCCUUCGGGUUGUAAAGUACUUUCAGCGAGGAGGCGUUACUAGCAGAAGAAGCACCGGCUAACUACGUGCCAGCCGCCGCGGUAAUUC
rnacentral:rRNA from 1 species